ensembl:lncRNA
CCUGCAUCCACAUUCCAGCACAAUCUCGAGGGCCCUUCAACCAAUGCAGGGACACGGCAUCUGCCUUCAUGUGCACUGCAUACUCCGUCACAACACACUGCAUAAACCUUUAGGGACACUGCCUCCACUGCAUGGGCACCGCAUUCAACUUCAGGGACAUAGAAGUCGGCACUGCAACCACUGCAGUGACACAGCUUCCAGCUGAUGAGGAAAUGCAGGCACACUGCAAUCACUGCAGGAUCACUGCAUCCACUGCAUGUUCACAGCAUCCACAUUCAGGCAUAGCUCAGCCAUGUCUCACACAUGAUGCAGGCGUGCCACAGAACUGGAUCCCAUGUGGCUGACACAUGAUAUAGGCUUUGGUCAUGCAUGGCUCGCACAUGGUUCUGAUGUGGCUCAUGCAUGUCUGUGGUGUUGCUCAGGCUUGGCUCACAUGUGUUUGUGGCAUGGGUGGCACGUGGUUCAUUCAUGGCAGGCAAGAUGUGCCAGUGUGGCUGAUGUGUGCUUCAGUUGAGGCUGACCUGUGGUUCAAGAGUGACUGGCACUUGGUCCAGGGUUGGCUGACACGUGACUUGGCACGACUGAGCCUUGACACAGGCGUGGUUCACACGUUGUUCAGGCAUGGCUGACACAUGACUCAGGUGAGGUGGAAACGUGACACAGGAGUGCCUGAAAAGUCACGCAGGUGUGGUUCACCCAUGGUUCAUGCAUGGCCUUCGUGUUGUUCAGGGGUGGCUGGUGCAUGGUGCACGCAUGGGUGGCAGGUGGUUCAGGCAUGGCUGAAAUGUGACUCUGGCAUGUGUGAAACAUGGCUCCGGUGUGGCUGACACAUAUAUGAGGCAUGUCUUACAUGUGACUCUGGCAUUCAUCGCCCAGUAACCAUGUGUGAUGGAAAGGUGAUCACACAGGAGUCACAUGUCGUACAUGGGUGGCUCCCACGGGACUACAGGUUGCUGAAACGUGGCUCCCACCUACUCAGUCAUGUCUGCCACGUGGCUCCCGCAUCUAUCAGCUGUGUCUCAAGGGUGGCUGCCCUGUUGUUCAUGCGUGCUUCAAGCAUGGAACAUGUGUGUUUGCCAGGUUCUUCAGAUGUGGUUCAAGGGUGUCUCCCAUGUGGUUCCUGCAUGGUUCACAGAUGGUUCGGGUGUAAUUCAGGCGUGGAUCUCACCUGACUCGUCUGUGUCACAUAUGGUUGAGGACACUCUCACACGUGGUUCAGGCAUAGCUCAUCCAUGGCUCACGCGUGACGCAGGCAUGCCACAGUACUGGCUCCCAUGUGGCUGACACAUGAUAGAGGCUUUUGUCACGGAUGGAUCACACAUGGUUCAGGUGUGGCUCAUGCAUGACUGUGUUGUUUGUCAGGUAUGGCUCACAUGUGACUCUGGCAUGGGUGGCACGUGGUUCAGGUAUGGAAGGCAAGUUGUGCCAGUGUGGCUUACACGUGCUUCAAGAGAGGCUGACCUAUGGUUCAAGUGUGACUGGCACUUGGUUCAGGCCUGGCUGGCACGUGACUUGGCUUGGCUGAGCCUUGACACAGGCGUGGUUCACACGUUGUUCAGGAGUGGCUGACACAUGACUCAGGUGAGGUGGAAACGUGACACAAGCGUGCCUGACACAUCAUGCAGCUGUGGUUCACACAUGGCUCUUGCAUGGCCCUUGUGCGGUUCAGGGGUAUCUGGAGCGUGGUGCAUGCAUGGGUGGUAGGUGGUUCAGGCGUGGCUGAAAUGUGACUCCGGCAUGUGUGAAACAGGUCUUUGGUGUGGCUGACACAUGUGUCAGGUAUGGCUGACACGUGACUCAGGCAUUCAUCGCCCAGUAUCCAUUUGUGACGGAAAUGUGAUCAUGCAGGAGUCACAUGCCGUACAUGAUUGGCUCCCACGUGACUACAGGUUGCUGAAACGUGGCUCCCACAUACUCAGUCAUGGCUGCCACGUGGCUAACGCAUGGCUCAGCUGUGUCUCAUAGAUGUCACCCCUGUGGUUCAUGUGCUCUUGUGUGGUUCAUGCAUGGAACAUGUGUGUUUCACAGGUUCUUCAGAUGUGGUUCAAGGGUGUCCCCCAUGUGGUUCCUGCAUGCCUCACACAUGGUUCGGGUGUAAUUCAGGCGUGGAUCUCACACGACUUGACUGGGUCACAUAUGGUUGAGGACAAUCUCACACGUGCUUCAGGUAUAGCUCAGCCAUGGCUCAGACGUUAUGCAGGUGUGCCACAGAACUGGCUCCCCUGUGGCUGACACAAGGUACAGGCUUUAGUCAUGCAUGGCUCUCACAUGGUACAGGUGUGGUUCAUUCCUAUCUGUGGUGUUGGACAGGAAUGGCUCACAUGUGUUUUUGGCAUGGGUGGCACGUGGUUCAGGCAUAGCAGGCAAGUUGUGCCAGUGUGGCUGACACGUGCUUCAAGUGAGGCUGACCUGUGGUUCAAGUGUGACUGGCACUUG